GAUGAACGCUGGCGGCGUGCCUAAUACAUGCAAGUCGAGCGAACGGACGAGAAGCUUGCUUCUCUGAUGUUAGCGGCGGACGGGUGAGUAACACGUGGAUAACCUACCUAUAAGACUGGGAUAACUUCGGGAAACCGUAGCUAAUACCGGAUAAUAUUUUGAACCGCAUGGUUCAAAAGUGAAAGACGGUCUUGCUGUCACUUAUAGAUGGAUCCGCGCUGCAUUAGCUAGUUGGUAAGGUAACGGCUUACCAAGGCAACGAUGCAUAGCCGACCUGAGAGGGUGAUCGGUCACACUGGAACUGAGACACGGUCCAGACUCCUACGGGAGGCAGCAGUAGGGAAUCUUCCGCAAUGGGCGAAAGCCUGACGGAGCAACGCCGCGUGAGUGAUGAAGGUCUUCGGAUCGUAAAACUCUGUUAUUAGGGAAGAACAUAUGUGUAAGUAACUGCGCACAUCUUGACGGUACCUAAUCAGAAAGCCACGGCUAACUACGUG
rnacentral:rRNA from 1 species